rnacentral:lncRNA from 1 species
GCCGCCGCCACCCCCUCCCGCCCUGUUCUCUCUUUGGUCGGGCCGGGCCCGGCCGGUUCCACGAGCGCCCGGCAGAGACUGAGGGAGAGAGAGAGAAAGAGGAGGGGAGGAGGAGGAGGAUUCAGGGAAUAGGAGCUGGGGAGCCCUUCUGCGCCACAGAUGUCUUGGCCUGCAGUGACUCCAACUCCCAUAAUCCUUCCAAUUUUCUCCUCUACCAAAUAAGUUUUUAAAAAGUGACAUUUUUAUUAUAAGUGAUUGACUUAAUUCAGGCAAACAUUGCAGCUGAGGGAAGACUUCAUUC